GAGGGUAGAGCUUAAAUGGUAGAGCACGUGCUUAGCACGCAUGAGGUCCUGGGUUCAAUCCCCGGUAUCUCUU
rnacentral:tRNA from 1 species